GAUGUCAUGGUUUUGUAACUUCGCUAUUGGUAUUCCACAUCAUAACAUCAUGGACAAAAGAGAAGAACUACGUAUCCCAGAGGACCUCACGGUCAGAGAAGGAAGACACAUCAGGGAAGAUACGUCAUCUGGUUGCGCGCGAUUCUUCUUCACUUUCGCUUGCUGCCGGGAGAGUGUGCUCCCAAGCCGGGAGUGCUUUCCCAAGCUUGGGUGUUCUUUCCAAGCCGGGCGCCUUCAUCAAGGAAAAUAUCAGUAAAAGACCACCCAACAAUGUUCCUUAAAUCUAUGUUUUUAAGAUUCCAACACUGGAUUUUGUUGAUUGCAUCCAAAGGUUCCCAUUGCACUGAACUGAAUGGUGCUGUACAGUUUUUUCUCGUUAAUGCCAUCAUCAAUACUCAGAUCACUUUCUUAAGAAGAAUUAUUCACACUGCUGCCACCUAAAUUAAUGCAGCAUUUCCAGAAUACAUUUGACUGGUAUAUAUGUAAUCAGAAAUAAACAUUUUUGGACUUCUACCCUGGAUCUAUGAGAACCAGAGUAAUAUUAAAAAUGACAUGGUGAUUUAUUCAUGUUUCUUGAUUAACUUUUUACCAUCAAAUUUGUGACAGCUAAAAAUUCUUUCAGUUUUGAUGAUGAUUAAUCCAUAUGAUGUGGCAGAUAUCCAAUAAGUAUGAUACUGUGAGUUUUUCUUGAUUUUCCUGUAUCUACAGAAUUGUGUUUAUUCACUUUUCCCGUAUUAUGUGUCAAUGUCUUCCAAAUUUUUAUUUUCUCUCAUGUCCUUAUUCUUUCCAGAAAUAAUUCUUGUGAAGCAGCAUCCUCAUAUAAUUCAUUGACAUUACAGUUCUUGAUAGAGUUGUGUUUCUUGUCACAUCUCUUAUUACUUAAAUCCUAUAUUAAUUUCUUU
ensembl:lncRNA